rnacentral:rRNA from 1 species
UACGUAGGUGACCAGCGUUGUCCGGAUUUACUGGGCGUAAAGAGCGCGCAGGCGGUCGUUCAAGUCGAGUGUGAAAGCCCCCGGCUCAACUGGGGAGGGUCACUCGAUACUGAUCGACUUGAAGGCAGGAGAGGGAAGCGGAAUUCCCAGUGUAGCGGUGAAAAUGCGUAGAUAUGCGGAGGAACACCGAUGGCGAAGGCAAUCCCCUGGGCCUGUACUGACGCUCAUGCACGAAAGCGUGGGGAGCAAACAGG